UCUGUGCUUCGGGAGCCUGAAGAAAGUGAAAGUGAAAGUGGAUGCGUUACUGAGUUAUUACAUGUAAGACCAGGAGCAUUUUUCUCUGGUAACUCUAAUAACCCUGAGUCUGUGUAGGAAAUAGAGGCGUUGUUGGACACUGCAGCAGACACUCUACUUGGACUUUCCAGCGACGCACAUUGUUCAUACGAACAUUCAGCCAGAAACACGAUCCACCACCAUCAUGAUUUCCAAGGCUGUAAAAUCCAUGUUGAAGGAAGUAGAUUCUAACGGUAGCCUGAUUCCUGUGUCCAGUCUGAACGACAGCUCUGGUAAACUGAAUCUCCUCUCACUCAUUGUGAAGACCAGGCCCAGAUGUGGAUGCUUCUGGCAGGAACCCAAAUACCAGUCCAGAGGCUUUUCCCUGAGUGAUGUGCUGAAACCCGGAGAACCUGAAGACAAACCUUUAAACCCAGAUGUGAAGGAGUCUGACUUCGUGGACCACAGUGGGACAUUUGCUGACAAGAAAGAAAUGAACUCAGAAGGAAAUGUGGAGGGAUUGGCGGCUGAUUUAAAACUUAACUUGGGCUUAAAAUGCUUCAACGGACAAGAGUCGUCCUUUGGCAGACUGAAGAAGGAGGAGGUGGAAGUGAAGGAGGUGGUUAACUACUCGAAAGACAAACGCCUGGACAUGACCCACCCUGUGAUCAAGCAGACCCGGGAGAAGCCCAGGGCAAUAUUAGGGGUGUUGACGGAGAGGAUUAUGACAUCACAACCUUGCCCGGUCACAAACAAAGUCCGGAAGUGUGGCAAUGCAGCAGCCAACAUGAGCGCCUGCGUGGCCCUGAGCGUGAAGGCCUCUAUGAAGCAGAGCGGCAGUACUCAGACAGAUAGUGAUGUGUCGCUGAAGAUUCCUGAAUAUACUGUCGUGGCCUUCAGUCUGAUUGAACUCAAGGUCAAACGCAAUGGAAAGUUUGAGCUGUGCCUUUUCUCCAACAAUGGGGGCUUUGAAAAGGUUAGGUCAAAUUACGAGAUUGAAGAGGAUGGAAUUAUGGACCUGGUAGGCGACUUUGAUGCCAACAGCCCCUUAAAUCUGAACAAAGAACUGGAGAAACUGAGUCGUCAUUUCCAGCUGCUGUCAGUCCUGCCAGCAGACACACGUUCCUCUCUGCUCCAGCUCCUCAAGACAACCAUGGAGGACAGAGAGACAGUCAGUGUGCUGGAGAGUGUGCUGGAUCAGAUGUGUGAUGGUGAGACUCCUGACCUGGGUGAUCUGGAAGAGUCUGAGAGGGAGACAGUCCAGGCCAUACUGGAUCUUGUAGACCAAUGUGUUGGGAAGGAUGAGGACGAGAUCAGAUCCUCACUUCUCAGUGCCGUCCACCUCAUUGUCAGUGCCAUGGACGGAAUGACAGAUGAGUGUCUCUCUGUGUUGGGAUCCUGUUGCAGUCCUCCAGUCUUACAGGCCCUGCAGAUCCUGGUGCAGCAUGUGGCAGCAGGGAGUGGGGAGACCCUCUCUCUGAGAGAUGCAGGUCUGGCUGUUCUGACUGAGGAGGAGCUGUAUCAGAGGACAGAGAGUCUCUUUGCCCUCUCCAAUGUGGAACUUACCAGAUUGAAUGAGGACGCAGAAUUCACAGUGACUUCAGUUAUCUGCCCUGGACACCUUCCUCUUGUCAUGAGUAUCGCUGUGAAUGGCCUGGCCUCUUUAGGAUAGAUUGAGCCGAAUAGAAACAUUCCUUGUGCUACAAAGUGGAUAUAUGAACUGCACCGCCAGGGAUGAAUUUCAGAAAUGUCACAUUUGAUAACAUAUUGUUGAUGAUUGCAAAGCGACAGGAGUAAAGCAUAUCAAAAACAAGAUAAUGCACGUGUGAAGAAAAAUGUACAAAAUAAUAUUCCCACUACUGUACAUUAAUUAAUGACACAUUCCUACGUCAUAUUUCCGUGUUAAUGGCUUUUCAUCAAAACGCAGUUGUAUUUACUUCUGCCAGAUGGCUUUAAUGACGUGUUUGCCCAUUGAAGACCAUUCAAAAAGCUUACAACAUUCAAAAACUGCAAGGCUAUUUUCAGAGUCACUUGCAUAGCUUAUUGUUGUUAUAAUGCUGUUUUUAAUGUAUUGUUAGGAAGCCCAUGACCAGACUCAUUAUGUCUAGGGGUCCUAGGUCUAGUUACAUGGUCUGUAACCAGACUCGUUAUGUCUAGGGGUCCUAGGCCUAAUUACAUGGUCUGUAACCAGACUCGUUAUGUCUAGGGGUCCUAGGCCUAAUUACAUGGUCUGUAACCAGACUCGUUAUGUCUAGGGGUCCUAGGUCUAAUUACAUGGUCUGUAACCAGACUCGUUAUGUCUAGGGGUCCUAGGCCUAAUUACAUGGUCUGUAACCUGACUCAUUAUGUCUAGGGGUCCAAGGCCUAAUUACAUGGUCUGUAACCAGACUCGUUAUGUCUAGGGGUCCAAGGCCUAAUUACAUGGUCUGUAACCAGACUCGUUAUGUCUAGGGGUCCUAGACCUAAUUACAUGGUCUGUAACCAGACUCAUUAUGUCUAGGGGUCCUAGGCCUAAUUACAUGGUCUGUAACCAGACUCAUUAUGUCUAGGGGUCCUAGGUCUAAUUACAUAACAUGGUCUGUAACCUGAAUGAAUGUGUGCAUUUACUUGAGAAAUUAGCUUUUGAGGACGAUGUUGGAUGCGUAUGUGUCCAGGAGACAGCCACUUACCGAGUUCAGGGCCAUCUCCGUCUUGUCCUCUUGGUCUGCCAGUCCAAGCGCAUAAUCAUUUUUCAUAUGGUGAUGAAACAUAAAUAUGGCCACCAAACAAACCCAGCAGCCUCACCCAAAUACCUGCCCACUGACUUUACCCUCCGUGAUGUUCUGACUGGAGACAUACCGACCCUGAACCCCAGGUCAACACAGAGCUGCCCCUCAGUUAAAAUGAUAGGCUGCUGCAGGCUGAAAUACCAGGGGGGUAUCCUAUGAAGCAAGCUAGUUCUACUCAGGGUCUUCUUAGCUUCACAUUCCAGUUCAGGCUUCAUCCAUGGAUAUUGGUCGUCCCCCUGCCGCAAACUCUAGCAGGCUUGUAACGGGGAUUGCAUGUUGCACAUUGCUCGUCUCUCCAAUAGCGUGUGAUUGUUGCCCACAAUUUGGGGCGUUCUUGCAUGUGGGCAUCCCAAGUGGGCACUCCCCCCCUCAAGCAUCCCAUUGGUUCCUUCAUCUGUGGGGUUUAGCAGUGGUUGACAUCCAAAGUCAUGGUACCUACUGUACUGGAGCGCCCCCAUCUCCUGCCUGUCCUGGUUUAAAUAUGGACCAACAGAAGUAUAAAGAGGGGUUUCUGCAGAUGCAGGAAUGCUCAAAUGCAGGAACGCCCGGAAUUGCAGACCGUAAUUGCACCCUUCUCAGUCAAACAACAAACUCUUCACUGUGCAUGAAGUUUUAAAUGUAUUCUAAAUUCAAAUGUAUUCAAAAUAAGACAUUUACAUAAGUAUUCAGACCCUUUAUUCAGUACUUUAUUGAAGCACCUUUGGUUGUGAUUACAUUUACAUUUACAUUUAAG